GCAAGCGUUGUUCGGAAUUACUGGGCGUAAAGGGCUUGUAGGCGGCCAACUAAGUCAGACGUGAAAUCCCUCGGCUUAACCGGGGAACUGCGUCUGAUACUGGAUGGCUUGAGAUUGGGAGAGGGAUGCGGAAUUCCAGGUGUAGCGGUGAAAUGCGUAGAUAUCUGGAGGAACACCGGUGGCGAAGGCGGCAUCCUGGACCAACACUGACGCUGAGGAGCGAAAGCCAGGGGAGCAAACGGG
rnacentral:rRNA from 1 species